CUCGUGGCGACUUGACUUCACUUCUCUGUACCAAACUCCGCAACGAAGACAUGUUUGUGUUAUUUGGAGGAAGUCAACGCAUCACAAUGAGAGCUCAUGAUCUCAGUAUGAACAAAACUGCUUCGUUAUUCCAAGAUUACCACAGACCUGGCCGUGAACACCGUUGACAUCCACCUGAGGGAGACGCUGCCUAAGAUCUCAAGGCUGCUUGGUCGUGGUCUUUCUGGUCCUGCUCCAGAACGCCUUCAUCAACUAUGUCGUCUUUUGAAGAGGCCCGCAGUUGCUGCAAUCUCUGACCUUAAGGAGGAACUGCUACUUUCACUCUGUAACGAGACGGCGGUUAUUUUAAAGACCCAGCUCCUGUCGGCUUUGAAAGAAAGUUUAAUACCCAUCAAAACAGAACUACAGACAGGUAAAUCUGAGCUGUCAGUCAGUAUGUUAAACAUCAAGUCUGACCCGUCUGCCCUCAAGCAUGCUGUGGGUAAAACGGAAACUUCACUCUCCACAUCACCGAUGACAUCGUCACACUUCAAAAAGCAGAGCACCUGUCUGCUGAACUUUUAAAAGUGGACAAUAAAUGUGAAGAAUGUGAGCAGCAGCAGCCUGUGAGCAGCGGAACAGAUGUGAUCAGAAAGAAGUCAUUUUCUUUCUGGUUGACUUGAUGCUGUCAGAUGCAGAUGUUGGAGCUGAUUCUGAUCUUUCAGGAUAAAAAGCUGCUUUUUCUUUACAGACUUUUCAGGAAAUUAUUCUCUCAGGUUUUCUCUGCUAUUUAUAUUUUUAUUAUCUGUGAUUAUUUCAUUAUUGUAAAAUAAAGUUUGAAGCAUAAAGACUCA